GUGCUCACUUCGGCAGCACAUAUACUAAAAGUGGAAGGAUACAGAGAUUAGCAUGGCCCCCAUGCAAAGACGGCACACAAAUGUGUGAAGCAUUCCGUAUUUUU